rfam:Selenomonas sputigena ATCC 35185, complete genome.
AUGUCCUUUGAAAUUGGUCCUGUGAGGCUGAUAAAGGAAGCCAUAAGGGUGCGGCGGCAUGAACCGCAUCGUUGCCAUGCAAAGAAAGCUUUCUUAUGCCUUGCAUAAGAAAGCUUUUUGUCU